rnacentral:rRNA from 1 species
AGUGAACGCUGGCGGUAGGCCUAACACAUGCAAGUCGAACGGCAGCACAGGAGAGCUUGCUCUCUGGGUGGCGAGUGGCGGACGGGUGAGGAAUACAUCGGAAUCUACUCUGUCGUGGGGGAGAACGUAGGGAAACUUACGCUAAUACCGCAUACGACCUACGGGUGAAAGCAGGGGAUCUUCGGACCUUGCGCGAUUGAAUGAGCCGAUGUCGGAUUAGUUAGUUGGCGGGGUAAAGGCCCACAAAGGCGACGAUCCGUAGCUGGUCUGAGAGGAUGGUCAGCCACACUGGAACUGAGACACGGUCCAGACUCCUACGGGAGGCAGCAGUGGGGAAUAUUGGACAAUGGGCGCAAGCCUGAUCCAGCCAUACCGCGUGGGUGAAGAAGGCCCUCGGGUUGUAAAGCCCUUUUGUUGGGAACGAAAUCCAGCUGGCUAAUACCCGGUUGGGAUGACGGUACCCAAAGAAUAAGCACCGGCUAACUUCGUGCCAGCCGCCGCCGUAA